rnacentral:rRNA from 1 species
AGAUUGAACGCUGGCGGCAUGGUUAAAACAUGCAAGUCGAACGCUGCUGGAGCAAUCCAGCGGAGUGGCGAAAGGGCGAGUAAUGCGUUUCUAACGUACCCCAAGGUCGAGGACAGCCCAGGGAAACUUGGAUUAAUACUCGAUGAUCCCGUAGCGUCGUAUGACGCGUCGGGCAAAGGCUUGCCGCCUUGGGAGCGGGAAACGUCCUAUCAGGUAGUUGGUGAGGUAACGGCUCACCAAGCCGGAGACGGGUAGCGGGUGUGAGAGCACGGCCCGCCGCAGUCGGGACUGAGGCACGUGCCCCGGACUCCGUACGGGACGCUGCAGUAACGAAUAUUCCGCAAGUGGGACAAAGCCUAGGACGGAGCAAUCGCCGCGU